GGGCGAAACAGUGGGGCACUUUAGAAAAAAAUUGAAAAAAUAGUCCUGCUAAUUAGAAGAAGCCAAUUAUAUAAUUUUAUUAAUAUGAAAUAUUCAAAACAGGUAAAUCUACAGAGACAAAAGGUAAAAACCGCUAAAGGUGUUUCCUGAAAGCUGAGGGAGUGAAGAUACAGGGGAAGAAUGUUCAUGGGUGUUGUUUCUCGAGGGUGGUGGAGCUGGUAAACAGGAUAUUCAGAAUUUAGAGGUAGUAACUGCGUGGCUUGCUAAUACUGAAAAAUAUGAGGCUCGCAUUUUAAAGAGGUGAACUAAUUGUAGGCAAAUGCUAUCUCAAAUAUCUCAAAAACCUGUCUUUAAAGUCGGAGAAGGAUGGGGAUGCUCAGUGGUUACAGCGCUUAAUGCUCUCCAAAGGACACAGGCUGGGUUUCAGUGAGGUAGGUCACACCUGCCUAUAACUCAGUUUCUAGGAGCUCUGGUACCCUCUGACCUAAGGGCACCAGGCAUACAUAAACUCAAAGGCACACACAUACACAUAAAUAAAGACAAAUAAGCCUU
rnacentral:lncRNA from 1 species